UACGUAGGCAGCGAGCGUUGUUCGGAGUUACUGGGCGUAAAGAGUGCGUAGGCGGUUUUCUAAGUUUGGUGUGAAAUCUCCCGGCUUAACUGGGAGGUGCGCCGAAGACUGGAAGGCUUGAGUAUGGGAGAGGGAUGCGGAAUUCCAGGUGUAGCGGUGAAAUGCGUAGAUAUCGGGAGGAACACCAGAGGCGAAGGCGGGUUACUGGGCUGAUACUGACGCUGAUGCGCGAAAGCUAGGGGAGCGAACGGG
rnacentral:rRNA from 1 species